rnacentral:tRNA from 1 species
GCCGGGAUAGCUCAGUUGGUAGAGCAAAGGACUGAA